rnacentral:rRNA from 1 species
UGCCAGCCGCCGCGGUAAUACGGAGGGUCCAAGCGUUGUUCGGAAUCAUUGGGCGUAAAGCGCGUGUAGGCGGCUUGGAAAGUCGGAUGUGAAAGCCCGGGGCUCAACCCCGGAAUUGCAUUCGAAACUGCCAGGCUAGAGUCUCGGAGAGGAAGGCGGAAUUCCCGGUGUAGAGGUGAAAUUCGUAGAUAUCAGGAGGAACAUCUGUGGCGAAGGCGACUUCCUGGACCAAUACUGACGCUAAUGCGCGAAGGCGUGGGUAGCAAACAGGAUUAGAUA